rnacentral:rRNA from 1 species
UACGUAGGGUGCGAGCGUUGUCCGGAAUUAUUGGGCGUAAAGGGCCCGUAGGCGGUCUGUCGCGUCGGGAGUGAAAACUCAGGGCUUAACCCUGAGCCUGCUUCCGAUACGGGCAGACUAGAGGUAUGCAGGGGAGAACGGAAUUCCUGGUGUAGCGGUGAAAUGCGCAGAUAUCAGGAGGAACACCGGUGGCGAAGGCGGUUCUCUGGGCAUUACCUGACGCUGAGGAGCGAAAGUGUGGGGAGCGAACAGG